rnacentral:tRNA from 1 species
GUUGAUUUGGUGUUUUAGUUGCAUACCAGUUUUUCGUACUGGUGGAGGUUUUUAAUAAAUCAAUCAACA